rnacentral:RNase_P_RNA from 1 species
CGAGUAAGUCAGAUGAUCGCGUUUUUUAACGAGGAAAGUCCGUGCACCAUAGAGCAGGAUGCUGGAUAACGUCCAGUAGGGGCGACCCUAAGGCUAGUGCAACAGAAAUAUACCGCCGGUGCUUUUCGAAGCAGAGGUAAGGAUGGAAAGGCGAGGUAAGAGCUCACCAGCAAAUAGGCGACUAUUUGGCUAUGUAAACCCCAUCUGGUGCAAAAUCAAAUAGGAUAAAAAGAUGGCUGCUCGCCAUCUCCGGAAGGUAGAUUGCUUGAGUCUAUUGGCAACAAUAGAUCUAGAUAGAUGAUCAUCUAAUACAGAACACGGCUUAUAGACUUGGUCAAAGG